rnacentral:rRNA from 1 species
GAUGAACGCUAGCGGCAGGCCUAACACAUGCAAGUCGAGGGGUAGCAGGAUUAAGCUUGCUUAAUUGCUGACGACCGGCGCACGGGAGCGUAACGCGUAUGCAACCUACCUUAUACUGGGGUAUAGCCCGGAGAAAUUCGGAUUAAUCCCCCAUAGUACUAAUGAAUCGCAUGGUUUAUUAGUUAAAGCAUUGCGGUAUAAGAUGGGCAUGCGUCCUAUUAGCUAGAUGGUGAGGUAACGGCUCACCAUGGCUACGAUAGGUAGGGGGCCUGAGAGGGUGGUCCCCCACACUGGUACUGAGACACGGACCAGACUCCUACGGGAGGCAGCAGUGAGGAAUAUUGGUCAAUGGGCGCAAGCCUGAACCAGCCAUGCCGCGUGCAGGAAGAAUGCCCUAUGGGUUGUAAACUGCUUUUAUUUGGGAAUAAACCUCUUUACGUGUAGAGAGCUGAAGGUACCAAAUGAAUAAGCACCGGCUAACUACGUGCCAGCAGCCGCAGUAA